UACGUAGGGUGCAAGCGUUGUCCGGAAUUAUUGGGCGUAAAGAGCUCGUAGGCGGUCUGUCGCGUCUGCUGUGAAAACUCGGGGCUUAACCCCGGGCCUGCAGUGGGUACGGGCAGACUAGAGUGCGGUAGGGGUGACUGGAAUUCCUGGUGUAGCGGUGGAAUGCGCAGAUAUCAGGAGGAACACCGAUGGCGAAGGCAGGUCACUGGGCCGCAACUGACGCUGAGGAGCGAAAGCAUGGGGAGCGAACAGG
rnacentral:rRNA from 1 species